GCAAGUCGAACGAACCCCUCGUGGUGAGUGGCGCACGGGUGAGUAACACGUGGGAAUCUACACUAGGGUACGGAAUAACUGCGGGAAACCUCAGCUAAUACCGUAUAAUGGCUCCGGCCCAAAGAUUUAUCGCCCUAGAAUGAGCCCGCGCUAGAUUAGGUAGUUGGUGAGGUAAAAGCUCACCAAGCCGACGAUCUAUAGCUGGUCUGAGAGGAUGAUC
rnacentral:rRNA from 1 species